rnacentral:tRNA from 1 species
GUUUAAUUAGUUUAAUUUUUUAAAAUAAUAAAUUGUGGAUUUAUAGAAGAGAUAAUUCAUUAAACA